rnacentral:lncRNA from 1 species
CAAGAGGCCAUAUGCAGUUUUCCCCUUGGCUGAUCUUUUCUUCUUGUGGCUUAUUCCACAAACAAGAUGCAGAAUGGCAUAUACAGAACCCUGCAACGGCCCAGCCUCAUCACAAGAGAGGAACAGACCAUAGAGGGGUGGGGCAGAAAGAGGAAUGAUUUUUUUUUAACUGCGCCUUUUAAACUGCGAAGCAGCUAAGCUCCAUAUAUACAGAAGAGCCCCAUGGAAGUCUGGGUGUAUAUAGGGUUAUGUUUUCCAGGUAUGCUAAGUUUCUAGUGCCCAGAUUAGCCAACUGCUAGCUAGAAUAUUUUUCCCACUGUAAUUGCAUUUAAAAGGGGAAAAUACAAAAGGGGAAAAUAAAUUUGAAGAGUUUCAAAUGUAUGGGAUAACAAAGAGAAAAAAUACAGCUCUAUUAAGACCCAAUGAUAGGAGCUGUCUCCAUUGCACAUUUUUAUUCUUUCUCCGAGGUCACCAAUGUCUCAAAUACCAUGUCAAAGGAAGGAGACGGGUAUAUAGGAAAUGUUUUCUCUCAAGUAUGCUAAGUUCCCAGUGCCCAAAUUAGAUGACUUCUUGCUGGAAUAUUGCUCUCAUUGCAAUUGCAUUUAAGGUCACAGGUCAUAUGUUUUGGACAACUGAUAUCAACUGACUGGCUUCCUGGUGCAACUGAACUCUUCCUCUUUUGGGACUCCACGCAGUUACCAUUGUAUCUCUAGCUUGUGACAACUCUUAAGUAAAAUACUGUGUUCUGGGAACACAAUUUUACCAGGGAUAGGAAGUAACAGUUCAAAGGCCAGGGGAUGGCUUAUUUUCUAACCAAUGAUCUUUAAUGCCCUAUUCACUCAAGAUUCUUUACAAGAGGUAUUCAUGGAGACUUGGAAUUGUAUCAAGACAACUGCUGAGGGACAGAAGAACUCCCCAGUUCUACUUAGAUUCUACCUGGACUACAGUCUCUGGAAAAUUCCCAAUCUAUUCAGAAUCCAGAACAUCUCUCACUAAAACUAAUCAAAAUAACAAACUGAGGAGGAUGAAAUAUUGAUUUUAAUUUCCUUGGACUUUCAAAUCACUGUAGCAAGAAAAUACGAUUUUGGACUUGAAUUCAUCUGGAUUUAUUAAGGCUUUAGAUUUUCAUUUCUCCCUAGACAUCUCAUAGGGAAUUGAUACUCACUUUGGAUGCAUCUUUAUAAUUUGGUAUUUUGGUUUUGAAGUAUGGUAAUGCUGUCCUUUAAUCCCACAGCAGGACAUGGGCUAUGUGCCAUCAUCAUCUGUGAUAGAAAAUAGACCAAGGGCGAAUAGAUGGCCUUGAAAACCAAGUGGCCUAGGAGUUAAUUCUAAGGAACUUGUCUGAUCUAUGUUAGAGCCUUCUCAGAGCAAAAUCUUCAUUGCCCACCUGUGGCUCCAGGAUGAUUUCCCAAGAAGCAAGGGAAGCAGGGAGGUGAGAGCAGGCUGAUCCAACAGGCUGCUGCUUUGCUUCUGAGCACUGGGAGAGCCCCGCUCUAGCUUAAUGAACAAAAUCGUUCAUUAAAACUAAUAGAAUAAAAAUAUGGUAACUAAUGGAAAAGGAAUGACUCUUCCUCACUGUUGAUGUUCCCCCUUAAGUGAGGGACCAUCGAUUAGAAUAACAUACCUGGCUUUGUUCUACCUCUUGACUUUUUUAGCGUGAAUCUCACCCUAGACCUAGCAUCAGAAUCUUCUGGAGCUGGGGUCCAGGCACCAGUAUGUUUUAAAAGCUCCCCGGGUGAUUUUAAUGUGUAGGGAGAGCUAAGAACCAAUGAACUAAAUGAUCUCUAAAGAUACUUUCUAACUCUUUUUUUAAAAAAUGCUGUGAUACCACCAGGAGUUAGAGAAAAUGACUUCAAGGCCCUUGGGGCACCCUUUUCUAGCAGCCCCGAGGCUCCAGUGCAUAGUGUGCAAUCAGCCUUCUAAUAGGAGAAAAACAAUACAAGGCUUCAUGUGUUGGUCCCAAAGCUUGCCUAUUCUGGCUGCCCCACCAUGUCACUGCCAUACAAUCAAUGGAAAAAUUGUUCUUUACCAUAACUUGAGAGGGAGAUAAUCAGGAACAAUCUGGCUACACCAUAGGCUAAUCACAAUGACUGAUAUUUCUAGGGCUGCAUUAAUCAAGCCUUCAAGUAGACAGACUCUUACGGUCAGACCAAUUCUAGAAUGAUUCUGCCUCCACUGUGGGAAUCUUUUAUAAACGGAAAUUCUCCAUUCAGCCUUCCCUCUCUCUCUUAAGUGCAAAAUCCCUCCUAAUGGUAGCAUCUGUUGUCUGCGGCAAACAGAGUUGAUUACAGAUGCUCUGAAAGGAAUUUAAGUAUUUUCUCUUGCUACUCAGGAGGUGAUGGUGUGAUGGGAAACAGUAAUUCUUUUUAGAAAAUAAAAAACCUUUGGCUAAACAGUGACUACAAUAAUAAGGUGGGAGAUCUGUUUCUGUGACCCUUCUGUAUAUUUCAUAGAAUGGCUUGGUUUCCUGAAGCCUACUUUGCAAUUGUUGAAGUGAUUUGCCCACUCUAGAGAAGGUAUAUGAAGUGGAAAUGGAAUAUGAAGAGAUAUUCGUACAAGGGAACAAGAUGGAGUCUCACUCUGUUGCCCAGGCUGGGGUGCAGUGGUUUGAUCUUGGCUCACUGCAACUUCUGCCUCCUGGAUUCAAGCAAUUUUCCUGCCUCAGCCUCCCGAGUAGCUGGGAUUACAGGAACCCACCACCACGCCUGGCUAAUUUUUUUUUUUUUUAUUUUCAGUAGGGACAGGGUUUCACCAUGUUGCCCAGGCUGGCUUCAAACUCCUAACCUCAAGUGAUCUGCCUGCCUCAGCCUCCCAAAGUCCAAGGAUUACAGGCAUGAUCCACAGUGCCCACCCAUUAACAAAGUCUUUCUUAACAAAAUCUGCUGGCGGGGAGGGUGAGGGUGCCUAAAAUGAAGAGGUUUGAGGGGUAGGAGGGAUGCAGAUCUGUGAUUAGGCCAGGUUAGGACUAAAGGAGGGGUCCCUGGGCCAGCCCUCAGGACUGGAGAACCCCUGAGAUAGACAGGACAAUGCCCCAUCACCCUUAUGCCAAACACACCUGGAGGAUCUGAGUGUUGUCCUUCUCCUUGACUAUUGAGGAAGGAGAACUAGUCCCCUGAGAAACAGAUAAAAGAGGUCAGUAUCCUGGAUUGCAUCCUUAGACUACCAGUACUAUUUUAUCAUCUACUAAUUAAUUCUCUGGGCUGUAGAAUGUGUCUUUUCCAUUAUCAGCUACAAGUUUAGUUUCAUAUGUGGGUACUUACGAAUAUGUAUAAAAGGGAAUCAGUGUUUAAGUACAUUCUUGUACCUGAUGCUUUAUUUUCAUUUCCUUAUUGAAUCUCCUCUACACCUGCGUGUAGUUGUAUUCUUACCCAUCUAUUGUAUGUGAGAGAAACAAAACUCAAAAAGGCCAAGUAGCACACUUAUGCAAAGGAACACACUUGUGAAAAACUGGUCUGGCAUUCAAAUUUAGGUCAGAUUCCAAAGCCCCUGCUCUUUCUACAACAUCGUGGAGGCUGGUGAGAUGUAGAUUUCCUCACAAGCUGAGGAGAUUGAAUUUGGCAUUGAAUAGCGUCAUCCAAAUUCUUACCUCUGAAAAUAGUUUUGGCAGCUCCUCAAGUAACUGCUUUGUAUUUUGUUGCCUAACAUUCAUUUCUGUUUGAUAACAUUUCCAAUAUUUAAAUACAUUGAAGAUUUUGUUGAUCUGCUGACAUUUAAAUUAGUUUUUGCAUCUUUCCUUCUGACAAUUUUAGGUCAUUGAAUUUCAGAACAGAGUCAUGAUUAUAAAAAAAGAGUUUCCACCAUAUGUAAAAAGACUAUGAUGUUAUACACAGAAAAAAAGGCCAAAGAUGAAAGUUCUGAAACUAUAUACUUCUCAGAGAGGAAUCCAACAAACGCCUUUGCCAAAUCAUGUUGGGAGCUGGUUACAAUGCAGAAUCUUGAACCCCACCCUAGAGAUACAGAUCUGGACAUGGGACCCUAUUACCUACGUUUUCAACACAAAAGUUUAGGAAUCACCACUAUAAACAAUGCACUGUGAAAUAAGUUAUAUUGUAAAGACCCAAACCUUGGAAGUUUUUAUACCCUGAGAGUUCCAAGGAGUGCCACUUCCAGUUCCAGAGGUCUUAGAUUUGAAAUGUACGUAGGCAAAACUGACUGGACUUUUUCUGUGCAAACACACUAUUUCUAUGGGAAAAUAAGAGUUUUGUGCAUGUUAUUGUUGACAUGAAGUGUGGUAAAUAAGAUUAACUCAUCCACAUUUAUCACAAAUCAGCAAACUGGCACAUGUACAAAAACUAAGAAGGGUCCUAGGCCUUAGGCAACUGGCUCACUGUCUUCCUCUCCUUCCUGUUCUCUCUGAAGUACUCUUAUCCCUCUAUCACUGUGAUUAUGUCUGCUUUUCUCCCCCCACUUUUUCCUGUUUCAUAGUGAUUAUAC